GCGAUCAUACCAGCACUAAUGCACCGGAUCCCAUCAGAACUCCGAAGUUAAGCGUGCUUGGCGAGAGUAGUACUAAGAUGGGUGACCUCUUGGGAAGUCCUCGUGUUGCACCCC
rnacentral:rRNA from 1 species